UUUUAAGGAAAUAGAUGAAAUGUUGCCUUUAUGUUUCAAUUAAAUGAAGUUAUUCACGCAUUGCGACAGAUUAAAACUAUAAAAGACAGAAUAUUGAUAAAAUAAAAAUUUUAAAAUUUUUUAACUUCUCAUGAGAUAUCAAUAAAUACAAGAAAAAACUUCAAAUACUAUUCCUGUGGUUUCGUACUUUUUUUUAUUUUAGUACCCUAUGAUUUAUAGUGUAUUAAUUUAGUACCUGUGGUUUUAUUUUUCGCAUUUUAUCAAUCCCUCCAUUAAUUAUUUUCGUUAAGUCAGUGACAAAGUUAAAACUAAAAGAUAUUAAAGUAAAUAUCUUAGUGGUUGUGCCACACUUUGGAAGAGCCCGAUUGGGGUCCUGCAUUCCUGUUUUAAUUACACAAUAAUUUUAGUGGUUGUGCCACAUUUUAGAAGAGCCCGAUUGGGGUCCUGCACUCCUGUUUUAAUUGCACAGUACACCAACUCUAAAUUAUGUGUCAAAUAUAAAUUUAUAUUAUAUAAUAAAUUAUUUAAAUAUUUUAUAUUAUAUUUUAUUUUAUACUACUGAUUAUUAAAUAUUUUAUUAUUAUUUAAUAUACUGUAUGAUGUAUGAAGCAUUAGUAUAUAUAUACCAGGUGCAAGAAAAAAUUUAUUCUCUCUCUUGAAACUAUGAGUGCAUUAAAUUAAGCAUUCUUUGCAUCAAGUGCAUAUGUGCACCAGAUGUAUAUGUGUAUAUAUAUCAGAUACUUAAAACUCUUUAAUAGAGAUUGAAAAAUCUAAUUCAUUCAAUAGAACUUAAAUUAUUAACUUUAUAGGUCAUAUAUGUUUAAUUAAAUUUUGAUAUCAAAAAUAUUUAUCAUCAUCUAUUANAGUGCAUUAAAUUAAGCAUUCUUUGCAUCAAGUGCAUAUGUGCACCAGAUGUAUAUGUGUAUAUAUAUCAGAUACUUAAAACUCUUUAAUAGAGAUUGAAAAAUCUAAUUCAUUCAAUAGAACUUAAAUUAUUAACUUUAUAGGUCAUAUAUGUUUAAUUAAAUUUUGAUAUCAAAAAUAUUUAUCAUCAUCUAUUAUAAGUUGUGAUGUAUAGAAUGUUAAUAUAAAUCAUGUGCAUAUAACUUUUUAGUUAGAAAUGUUAUUUAUACAAUAGUUUUCAAAACUAGUAAAUUUGAUUAAUUUUUAAAUAAAGUUAUUAGAAUAAUAUAACUAUUCAAAAUUAAGAAAAUAUUAAUAAAAAAAUAUUUUUUGUAAUGUAUAUAACACUAUUUGAUAAUAUUUGUAUUUAGUUAUAAUUUUUUAAUCUUAUAAGUUUAAUAAUUAUAUAUAUUUUAGUAUUUUACUUGAUUGACAUUCAAUCAACCCGCUACAAAGCGCGGGCCCUGCACUAGUAUAUAAUGAAUCCUCAGUCUUGUUAAA
rnacentral:lncRNA from 1 species